GAUGAAGAACGCAGCGAAAUGCGAUAAGUAGUGUGAAUUGCAGAAUUCAGUGAAUCAUCGAAUCUUUGAACGCACAUUGCGCCCCUUGGUAUCCCGAGGGGCAUGCCUGUUCGAGCGUCAUUUCACCACUCAAGCCUGGCUUGGUGUUGGGCGACGUCCCCUUUGGGGACGCGCCUCGAAACGCUCGGCGGCGUGGCACCGGCUUUAAGCGUAGCAGAAUCUUUCGCUUUGGAAGUCGGGGCCCCGUCUGCCGGAAGACCUACUCGCAAGGUUGACCUCGGAUCAGGCAGGGAUACCCGCUGAACUUAAGCAUAUCAAUAAGCGGAG
rnacentral:misc_RNA from 1 species